rnacentral:rRNA from 1 species
GCCCUUAGAGUUUGAUCCUGGCUCAGAACGAACGCUGGCGGCAUGCCUAAUACAUGCAAGUCGAACGCGCCUAGCAAUAGGCGAGUGGCGGACGGGUGAGUAACGCGUGGGAACCUGCCCUUGAGUGCGGGAUAACCGAGGGAAACUUCGGCUAAUACCGCAUGCGCCCCGGGCAACUGGGGGAAAGAUUUAUCGCUCGAGGAGGGGCCCGCGUCGGAUUAGCUAGUUGGUGGGGUAACGGCCUACCAAGGCGAUGAUCCGUAGCUGGUCUGAGAGGAUGGCCAGCCACACUGGAACUGAGACACGGUCCAGACUCCUACGGUAGGCAGCAGUGGGGAAUCUUGCACAAUGGGCGAAAGCCUGAUGCAGCGACGCCGCGUGGGGGAUGAAGCUUCUCGGAGUGUAAACCCCUUUCGACCGGGACGAAUACCUCGCAAGAGGGGUGACGGUACCGGUAUAAGAAGCCCCGGCUAACUACGUGCCAGCAGCCGCGGUAAGACGUGGGGGGCCAGCGUUGCUCGGAAUUACUGGGUGU